rnacentral:rRNA from 1 species
UACGGAGGGGGCUAGCGUUGUUCGGAAUUAUUGGGCGUAAAGGGCGCGUAGGCGGUGCGGUAAGUCUGUAGUGAAAUCUCUGGGCUCAACUCAGAGUCUGCUGCAGAAACUGCCGUGCUUGAGUGUGGGAGAGGUGAGUGGAAUUCCGGGUGUAGUGGUGAAUACGUAGAUAUCGGGAGGAACACCAGCGGCGAAGGCGGCUUUCUGGUCCGAUUCUGACGCGUGAGGCGCGAAAGCGUGGGGGAGCGAUCCGG